UGCAGAUCAGGCUGCGUUAAUCCAGGGGCUCUGUGAUUUUUAUAUUACAAGCAGCUAUUAAACAGCUAUUAAAUGUGUGGAGGCCAGGGUCGACUGGUUACAAGGCUUGAAGCAAACAAAAGAGUAAGACUGGAGAUUGGUCUACACGUCCGGAAGAAUGAAAUUGUCGAAUUCUGAGGUGGCUCAACUUCAGAUAAUUGGCAAAACCCGUUGAGGAGAAUCCAGAAUGAGGAAACUUUCUCCAGGGAAGUUGGCAAUGGGUGCGCCAGCCUUUAUAACAUCCCGUUUAGUUCCUUGCUUCUUCACCAGCCAACUUUUAUUAAUUUCCUGAAAUGUAUAAAAUGUUGGACUAAUAAUACAAUAAUUAGAUAACGAUGCAAUGAAAAUGAUACAAUAAAUACAAUUAAAAUAGUUGAUACAAUAAAUAUUAAUAGUACUCACUACUACAAUCCAAGAUAAAUUCUUAACAUGCAUUGGUGUUUCUUCUAGUCAUUUCUUUUCUUAA